rnacentral:misc_RNA from 1 species
AGAGUUAAAUAGUACGUGAAAUUGUUGAAAGGGAAACGAUUGAAGUCAGUCAUGCUUGCAGGGAAUCAACAAAGUGGUUUUCUUCCUUGUGCACUUCCUUGCUUAGCAGGUUAGCAUCAAUUUCGAUUGUCAUUAAAGAACCAGGAGAAUGUGGCUUCUUCGGGAGUGUUAUAGACCUUGGUAGAUGUGGCGAUCGGGACUGAGGAUUGCAGCGAAUGCUUCUUGGCUAGUCGCCUGGCUUCUGAUGGUCACCUUGCUUUCGAUAGCUUGCUAACGUUAGUGAGAUUUGAUUGUCUAGAUGUUAGAGUGAUCAUAAAUUCGCUAAGGAUGCUGACGUAAUGGCUUUAAACGA